AUAGCAUGGAUUAUGUGUGUGGGUGUAGUGCUAUAAGCAUGAACAUUGAUCCUAUCGAAUUCUCUGCGAUAUUGAUUUGAGGAAGAUGUGUGUAGCUAGUUGAUUUUAUUUUAAUCUAUCAAAAUUUUCAACAAUCAUCUAUCUCAAUAUC